rnacentral:rRNA from 2 species
UCACUUUCAACAACGGAUCUCUUGGUUCUCGCAUCGAUGAAGAACGUAGCGAAGUGCGAUAAGUAGUGUGAAUUGCAGAAUUCCGUGGAUCAUCGAAUUUUUGAACGCAAAUUGCACUCUCUGGUAUUCCGGAGAGUAUGCCUGUUUGAGGGUCAUUAA